rnacentral:lncRNA from 1 species
UAAGAAUUUGAGCUAGGAGGCACUUGGAGAUAUUUUCAUCUAAUGCAAUUUCCUCAUUUUAUAGAUAAAGUAAUUGAAAACUAGAUAGAGGAAAUCAUUUGUCUAUACCAGGAAAAACCAGAUAGUUUGUGGCAAAGUCAAUAUUUAACCCCAGGUCGUCUGAAUCUAAUACUCUUUCCACCCUAUAAUCCCUCUUUCCUCCAGUUGUUGGUUUAGGUAAGGUAGCUGCCUGUCUUACAGCUCUUAUCACAUGGAAGGAUGUUAGCAUUUCAGAGACCUGGCAUUUCAAACCAGAGAACCAGUCUAAGUCAGCACACCUGUUCUGUGAUAAGGGUUAGAACCUUAACUUGGGUGGGAGGAGAGCGUGAGAAAAUUAGGCCUUAUUUGGACAUAUUUCUCUGCUGACCAAAUUAACAUUUGACUUCCAACUGUUCUUUCUUUCCUUCCUUAACAUUUUCUUAUUUAUAAACAACUAUUAUAUUUCAAAGUGCUAAGUUGGGCUUGAAGGUUCAGCAAGAACAGUUGGAGCACCAAUACAAUCUAUAUCAUGAUUUCCCCCCAAAUAUGUAUUUGUUACUGUUCCUCAUUUCAAAGUGAAAAGAACAUGAAUUAAAAGAAUAAAAGGCAGCCCUGAAUUGAAUACUGGAUGCAUUUUUCACUGCUAUUUUCCUUUCAAAAAUAUGUACUUAUUAUAUGUUUUCUUACGAUUUUGAGCCAAGGAAACAUUAAGAGUCUGUAGAAUUAAGAAGGCAGUUUAACACACUGAUCAUAUCUCCAGUAAUUGGAAUCUGAAAGAACCUGCUGUAAAAGGAUGCAUUCCAACUGCCAUCUGACAAUUCACAUGCUGGUUGUCCCAGGCAUUAUAAGUCUAUUAGGAGAACAAAGACAAUCAAAAAGAGUGGAUAGAGAACACCUUUGCCUUGGGGUAGAUGAGCUGAGGAGGCUGACCAGAGAAAAAAAGGUAAAUGUUCUGGAUUUUUAUUUUGUUUCUGAUUUAUUGGUAAAAUAGCCAUGUGAAAAAAAUAUAGAACAAAAAUGACAAGAAAAAGAACAACAAAAAAAGCAUUUCAUACACAAAAUAAGGAGGUGAUGUAGCGUUUGGUGCCCUUGAUUCAUUCAAGUUACUUGAAAAGAUUGAGAACUCUAAAUGUUGAGGCAUGAGUGGCAUUUGAAAGGUCAUUGAAAAUGAGAGAGAUGUCACAAAACUGGAAAAGGGAAAAUUUCUCAGUUGGAAUAUGUAUGUCUAUCAUAUCUAUGUAUGUACAUAUUCAUAUAUACACACAUAUGAUAAUAUAUAGUAAUGUAUAUAAAUCACUACUAUAAUAAAAGGCAUACAUGUUUAUAGUAGCA